GUCGUUCCAUAAUUGCAGUGCUCUGUAGGAAAAUAAGGAUUGAGCUGCUUUCUUUUUGUAUUGAGGUAGACUAGAUAUCGUGCUAGUACUGGAUCGGAGUUUAUAGGAGGUGGAAACAGCCAGGUAGAGCAUUCUGCUCAGGUAGGGUGGGAGCUUCCCAGAAAAGCUCUUAAACACAAGGCUGGAAUGAUGAAGGGUGCGUCUGGAC